GUGUCAGCAGCCGCGGUAAUACGUAGGGGCCUAGCGUUGUCCGGAUUUAUUGGGCGUAAAGAGCUCGUAGGCGGCUUGGUAAGUCAGGUGUGAAAUCUCCACGCUCAACGUGGAGGGGCCACCCGAAACUGCCAUGGCUUGAGUCCGGUAGGGGAGUGUGGAAUUCCCGGUGUAGCGGUGAAAUGCGCAGAUAUCGGGAGGAACACCCGUAGCGAAGGCGGCACUCUGGGCCGGUACUGACGCUGAGGAGCGAAAGCGUGGGGAGCAAACAGGAUUAGAAACCCCAGUAGUCC
rnacentral:rRNA from 1 species